rnacentral:rRNA from 1 species
AGUGAACGCUGGCGGCAGGCCUAACACAUGCAAGUCGAGCGGCAGCGGGUCCUUCGGGAUGCCGGCGAGCGGCGGACGGGUGAGGAAUGCAUCGGAAUCUGCCCUGUCGUGGGGGAUAACCUAGGGAAACUUAGGCGAAUACCGCAUACGACCCACGGGUGAAAGCGGGGGAGCGCAAGACCUCGCGCGAUAGGAUGAGCCGGUGUCCGAUUGGCUAGUUGGCGGGGUAAAGGCCCACCAAGGCGACGACCGGUAGCUGGUCUGAGGGGAUGAUCAGCCACACUGGGACUGAGACACGGCCCCGACUCCGACGGCAGGCAGCAGUGGGGAAUAUUGGACAAGGGGCGCAAGCCUGAGCCAGCCAUGCCGCGUGGGUGAAGAAGGCCUUCGGGUUGUAAAGCCCUUUUGUCCGGGAAGAAAACGUCUGGGCUAAUACCGCGGGCGGAUGACGGUACCGGAAGAAUAAGCACCGGCUAACUUCGUG